GGAAGCGCUCUGCUCCACGGCGGUUCCCACUUCUGCUUUCUGGCUUCUCUUCCUGGGUUUCUCAGUAAGAAGGACAUCUAAUGUGCUUUUCUCCAAGGAAAAGGAACUCAAGAGACUGAUGAUACAGGAAGAGGAUAAAAGUCAGGCACCUGAAAAUCUGAAACGAAUUUAAAAAUAAAGCCAAUGGCCCCUACAUGCACUUGUUCUGUUGGGAAUCUGGUGAAAACCAUACUGACCACGAGGAUGACACAGCCAAGAUGAGGUGGUGCUCGGCAUCCUGGACUGGCGAGCUCCAUCCCGUAAUGGGAGAAAGCAAAGCUUCCUCCACUAGAAACCCUGUGGGAGGGUGGAGGGUGCAGCUCCACACCCAGUGUGUGGUGGGAGCAGGCCACGCAUGCGUCCUCAGCAGCUUCACACAGAGGCUGUCCUGCCUCCCCAGAUGUACAGACUCAGGUCUUGGGAAAACAUCUUAAAUUAAAGCAAUUUCCUAUG